UGAGUAGACUGGAUGACCGCAAGGGCAGGUGCCGAAAGGCCGCCUUUGAGGAAAGUCCGAGCUCCGCAGGGCAGGGUGCUGGGUAACGCCCAGUGGGGGUAACCCCAAGGAAAGUGCCACAGAAAGAUACCGCCUGGCCCCCAUUGGCCAGAGGGGCCGGGUAAGGGUGGAAUGGUGAGGUAAGAGCUCACCAGCGGUUAGGCGACUAACCGGCUCGGUAAACCCCACCUGGAGCAAGACCGAAUAGGAGGGGAAUGAGGUUGCCCGCUGAUCCCUCGGGUAAGGUCGCUGGAGAUACCAGGCAACUGGUAUCCUAGAUAGAUGGUCAUCUUCGACAGGACUCGGCUUACAGGUCUACUCGCCAA
rnacentral:RNase_P_RNA from 1 species